AAGCUUAUGUUCAUGUAUGCUGUGUGUAUAUAUGUGGUACAGCAUUAUGUAUGUGAGCU
ensembl:miRNA cin-mir-4012-2 cin-mir-4012-2